rnacentral:rRNA from 1 species
UGGCGACCAUAGCAAGAGUGAACCACCUGAUCCCUUCCCGAACUCAGAAGUGAAACCUCUUAGCGCUGAUGGUAGUGUGGGAUUACCAAUGUGAGAGUAAGUCAUCGCCAGCUC